UUUGGAAGUAUAAAAUCUCUCAGCAGAGCUAAUUUCCCAGAUGGGUUCAUUUUUGGAACUGCUUCUUCAGCUUACCAGUUUGAGGGAGCUUCUGAUGAGGGAAAUAAAGGAGUUAGUAUAUGGGAUACAUUUACAAAACAACCAGGGAGAAUUUUAGACUUCAGUAAUGCAAACACAGCUGUUGAUCAAUAUCAUAGAUUUGAGGUAUGAUAUUUUUUUUUAAAAGAAUUAUAAGAGUUUUAAUGUCACAAGCAUAAGCUGAUUAUUCCAUUUUCUUUCCUUAUUUUUUUUUAGUUUUCUUUUUGGGUAGCAUUUUCCUUUUUCAAUUUAAAAUUUAUAAAAAAGUCAAUUGUUGCGUGGGAAAGGAGUUUCA